rnacentral:rRNA from 1 species
UACAGAGGUCUCAAGCGUUGUUCGGAUUCAUUGGGCGUAAAGGGUGCGUAGGUGGCGGGGUAAGUCGGAUGUGAAAUCUCAGGGCUCAACCCUGAAACUGCAUUCGAUACUGCCUUGCUCGAGGACUGGAGAGGAGAUUGGAAUUCACGGUGUAGCAGUGAAAUGCGUAGAUAUCGUGAGGAAGACCAGUGGCGAAGGCGGAUCUCUGGACAGUUCCUGACACUGAGGCACGAAGGCCAAGGGAGCAAACGGG